rnacentral:rRNA from 1 species
GACAGAGGUGCCAAGCGUUAGGCGGAAUCACUGGGCUUAAAGCGUGUGUAGGCGGAUUGGUAAGUACCUUGUGAAAUCCCACGGCUCAACCGUGGAACUGCUUGGUAUACUGCCUAUCUUGAGCCACUUAGGGGCUGUCGGAACAAACGGUGGAGCGGUGAAAUGCGUAGAGAUGUGGAGGAACACCGAUGGCGAAGGCAGCCUUCUGGGCCAACACUGACGCUCAUGCACGAAAGCGUGGGGAGCAAACAGG